GUAGCCUAAUAUUACUCUUGGAUCAAGAGUUGGGUUGACUAACCUCACUUCACCACCACCUGGAGCCCAGGUGUCGUAAGCUCCACCGAUAAAGCACCAGUUUAAGGACCAUGCUAAUGCUCCUACACCUAGUACUAUCAAGUGAUAACCAAGAAUGUUAGUCAUUUGAUUUUUGUCUCUCCA
rnacentral:antisense_RNA from 1 species